rnacentral:rRNA from 1 species
GACGAACGCUGGCGGCGUGCUUAACACAUGCAAGUCGAACAGUGGCGAACGGGUGAGUAACACGUGAGUAACCUGCCCUCCCCUUUGGGAUAACUCCGAGAAAUCGGGGCUAAUACCGGAUCGUGGGGGAUGGGCUCGCGGCCUAUGGGUUUGUUGGUGAGGUAGUGGUCACCAAGGCGUGACGGGUAGCCGGCCUGGGAGGGCGACCGGCCACAAUGGGACUGAGGCAGGGACCAGAGUCGUACGGGAGGCAGCAGGGGGGAAUAUUGCACAAUGGGCGAAAGCAUGAUGCAGCGACGCCGGGUGGGGGAUGACGGCUUUCGGGUUGGAAACCUCUUUCAGCAAGGAAGCGGUACUUGCAGAAGAAGCGCCGGCUAACUACGUGCCAGCCGCCGCGGUAAUAC